rnacentral:rRNA from 1 species
ACUUUAUUUGAUUUCCUUCGGGACUGAUUAUUUUGUGACUGAGUGGCGGACGGGUGAGUAACGCGUGGGUAACCUGCCUUGUACAGGGGGAUAACAGUUGGAAACGGCUGCUAAUACCGCAUAAGCGCACGGCAUCGCAUGAUGCAGUGUGAAAAACUCCGGUGGUAUAAGAUGGACCCGCGUUGGAUUAGCUAGUUGGUGAGGUAACGGCCCACCAAGGCGACGAUCCAUAGCCGACCUGAGAGGGUGACCGGCCACAUUGGGACUGAGACACGGCCCAAACUCCUACGGGAGGCAGCAGUGGGGAAUAUUGCACAAUGGGCGAAAGCCUGAUGCAGCGACGCCGCGUGAGCGAAGAAGUAUUUCGG